AGUGAACGCUGGCGGUAGGCCUAACACAUGCAAGUCGAGCGGCAGCACAGUAAGAGCUUGCUCUUACGGGUGGCGAGUGGCGGACGGGUGAGGAAUACAUCGGAAUCUACUUUUUCGUGGGGGAUAACGUAGGGAAACUUACGCUAAUACCGCAUACGACCUACGGGUGAAAGCAGGGGAUCUUCGGACCUUGCGCGAUUGAAUGAGCCGAUGUCGGAUUAGCUAGUUGGCGGGGUAAAGGCCCACCAAGUCGACGAUCCGUAGCUGGUCUGAGAGGAUGAUCAGCCACACUGGAACUGAGACACGGUCCAGACUCCUACGGGAGGCAGCAGUGGGGAAUAUUGGACAAUGGGCGCAAGCCUGAUCCAGCCAUACCGCGUGGGUGAAGAAGGCCUUCGGGUUGUAAAGCCCUUUUGUUGGGAAAGAAAAGCAGCAGGUUAAUACCCCGCUGUUCUGACGGUACCCAAAGAAUAAGCACCGGCUAACUUCGUG
rnacentral:rRNA from 1 species